UAGAGUUUGAUGCCUGGCUCAGAUUGAACGCUGGCGGUAUGCUUAACACAUGCAAGUCGAACGGAAACGAUACUAGCUUGCUAGUAGGCGUCGAGUGGCGGACGGGUGAGUAACGCGUAGGAAUCUGCCUGAUAGUGGGGGAUAGCCCGAAGAAAUUCGGAUUAAUACCGCAUAAUCUAUUCGUAGUAAAGUGGGGGACUUUCGAGCCUCACGCUAUCAGAUGAGCCUGCGUAAGAUUAGCUUGUUGGUAGGGUAAAAGCCUACCAAGGCGACGAUCUUUAGCUGGUCUGAGAGGAUGAUCAGCCACAUCGGGACUGAGACACGGCCCGAACUCCUACGGGAGGCAGCAGUGGGGAAUAUUGGACAAUGGGGGCAACCCUGAUCCAGCAAUACCGCGUGUGUGAAGAAGGCCUGAGGGUUGUAAAGCACUUUCAAUUGUGAAGAAAAGUUAGCGGUUAAUAACCGUUAGCCUUGACGUUAACUUUAGAAGAAGCACCGGCUAACUCCGUGCCAGCAGCCGCGGUAAUACGGAGGGUGCAAGCGUUAAUCGGAAUUACUGGGCGUAAAGCGUGCGUAGGCGGUUUAUUAAGUCAGAUGUGAAAACCCCGGGCUUAACCUGGGAACUGCAUUUGAAACUGGUCAACUAGAGUAUGGUAGAGGAAAGUGGAAUUUCUGGUGUAGCGGUGAAAUGCGUAGAUAUCAGAAGGAACAUCAAUGGCGAAGGCAGCUUUCUGGACCAAUACUGACGCUGAGGUACGAAAGCGUGGGUAGCAAACAGGAUUAGAUACCCUGGUAGUCCACGCCGUAAACGAUGAUAACUAGCCGUUGGGGGGAUUUACCCUUUAGUGGCGAAGCUAACGCGUUAAGUUAUCCGCCUGGGGAGUACGGCCGCAAGGUUAAAACUCAAAGGAAUUGACGGGGACCCGCACAAGCGGUGGAGCAUGUGGUUUAAUUCGAUGCAACGCGAAGAACCUUACCUGGUCUUGACAUCCUGCGAACUUUCUAGAAAUAGAUUGGUGCCUUCGGGAACGCAGUGACAGGUGCUGCAUGGCUGUCGUCAGCUCGUGUCGUGAGAUGUUGGGUUAAGUCCCGUAACGAGCGCAACCCCUAUCCUUAUUUGCCAGCACAUCAUGGUGGGAACUAUAAGGAGACUGCCGGUGAUAAACCGGAGGAAGGCGGGGACGACGUCAAGUCAUCAUGGCCCUUACGACCAGGGCUACACACGUGCUACAAUGGGAAGGACAAAGAGCCGCGAAGCCGCGAGGUGUAGCUAAUCUCAUAAACCUUUUCGUAGUCCGGAUUGGAGUCUGCAACUCGACUCCAUGAAGUCGGAAUCGCUAGUAAUCGUAGAUCAGAAUGCUACGGUGAAUACGUUCCCGGGUCUUGUACAC
rnacentral:rRNA from 1 species